rnacentral:rRNA from 1 species
AGCAGCCGCGGUAAUUCCAGCUCCAAUAGCGUAUAUUAAAGUUGUUGCAGUUAAAAAGCUCGUAGUUGAAUUUCGGGAUUAGUACGCUGGUCAUGCCUUUGGUAUGUACUGGUGUUACUGGUUCCUACCUUCUGAAGAACCGUCAUGUCAUUAAUUUGGUGUGGCGGGGAAUCAGGACUGUUACUUUGAAAAAUUAGAGUGUUUAAAGCAGGCUCGCGCUUGAAUACAUUAGCAUGGAAUAAUGAAAUAGGACGUUUGACCCUAUUUUGUUGGUUUCUAGGAUCGACGUAAUGAUUAAUAGGGAUAGUUGGGGGCAUUAGUAUUCAAUUGUCAGAGGUGAAAUUCUUGGAUUUAUUGAAGACUAACUACUGCGAAAGCAUUUGCCAAGGAUGUUUUCAUUAAUCAAGAACGAAAGUUAGGGGAUCGAAGACGAUCAGAUACCGUCGUAGUCUUAACCAUAAACUAAUGCCGACUAGGGAUCGGAUGAUGUUAUUUAAUGUACUCAUUCGG